rnacentral:rRNA from 1 species
GACGAACGCUGGCGGCGUGCUUAACACAUGCAAGUCGAACGGAAAGGCCCUGCUUUUGUGGGGUGCUCGAGUGGCGAACGGGUGAGUAACACGUGAGUAACCUGCCCUUGACUUUGGGAUAACUUCAGGAAACUGGGGCUAAUACCGGAUAGGAGCUCCUGCUGCAUGGUGGGGGUUGGAAAGUUUCGGCGGUUGGGGAUGGACUCGCGGCUUAUCAGCUUGUUGGUGGGGUAGUGGCUUACCAAGGCUUUGACGGGUAGCCGGCCUGAGAGGGUGACCGGCAAGCAUGGGAGUGAGCUACGGCGCAGAGGGGCAGCGGGGGGGGCAGGGGGGUAUAGUGGACGCGGGGCGGGAAGGUGAGGCAGCAGGGCCGGGUGCGGGGGGUGGGCCUGCGGUGGGUAACGAGGGGUCGUCGGUGGCGUGGCGGGUUUGGAGGAAAUGGGAAAAGAAGCCCAGGCAAACGACGCGACAGCAGCGGCUCGAAUAAGCAGAAGAGCGCACGUCUGACC